rnacentral:lncRNA from 1 species
UUAAUCGCCUGCCCCGGAGUGAACAAGACUGUUGUGCCUUGGGGAGCAGCCACGUGCAUCGUGCAGGGCUCAACGCUUACAGCGUGUGCAAACUGCUUCCGAGGAGAAACAUGGAAGUACAGCUGCAUGAAGAAUUGCGACAGAAGAAGCACAAAAUGCUAGUUUUAUGAGAUCUUUGGCUAUGAUGGCUUGCUCUUGUGCUGAGCGCUUGAUAAACUGUACUCCAGUAGGAUGACGAACAAGUGCGGACAAAACUACUCAAUAAAGCAGCGUCGGCCUUGGUGAAGGGAAGUGCCGUGUCGCCGAGGUGCAAAAAUAGCAAGUCUUUUCCAAACCUCGUCUCCAGCAGCAGCACUGUGGGCUGACUGUUUGCACGCUGACCUGACAACUGUUGUGAUACCCGUCUGGGGAAAGGUGCUGGCACGCAGUACCUCUUCUAAAAGCACCGCUUCGGCCGGCACUGAAACAUUAAGUGCAGCCAAACCAGCGGCGGCGGUGGCCCGUGCGCAGGUGGGUGGAUGCUAGGAAGUCACCAGCUGCCUUUUGCCCGUCUUCUCUGCUUGCAGCUUCAGGUCAUGGAUUACUGAUGGUCCUCUGCAGGCUGCUGUCCUCAAUAUCUUUAUCUGUGUUUCGUGUGCUAUUGCCUUUUACCUGUUCCCACAGACUCACUCACGGUGGCCCUAAGUCUGCAAAGGCUAGAUGCAAGAGUCUUCAGUAUCUGUACACUUCAGACACCCCCAGCCGGAGCUGUGCCGCUCUGUUGUUUCGCAGAUGUUGGCAGAGGACAACCCUGCAGUGAGACCUCCCUCUGCUACCAAGGCUGUCAGGCACUGUGCUGGAUCUACAGGGCAGUUUGGGAUUUUGAUCUUUAUACAGAGCUCACUCUGAGAGCGGUGUUUCUGUAUGGUAUUAGGCGUUUCCCUAGUGGAAGAUGCACUCACAGCUCCAUUUUUUCUUACAUUUUGUCAUACACUAUUGUUUUUUCAGCUAAUACUUACCACUUUUGGCUCUAGGAUAUUCUCUGCUUUAUGUCUUUGUAAUUAUUUAUAAUACCAAGCAAUGGUUCUAACUGUUACUAGUUAAGAUCAAUAUGUCACUAGAGAUAGCAUCUCUUAGCUGUUAAAGCCAUCCAUUAGAUAUUUUAUGGGAGUGACCAGUGGAGACUUCAUCAUUAACGCUAACUAACUUAAUUUUCACCUUUGUGUGUGUGAAUCAGACCCUGAAUAACACUGACUUGAUGAACAGGAGUGCACAGGAGACAAAAUUCAGCAAGACAUACUUGGUUUGACUUAGGAGUGAAUUUUUUCAAAGUGAGUCUUUUAAGCCAAAAUAUUCAAAACUCUGUUAAAUUUGGGGGCAAGAUAACAGCAUCAUAUAGAAUACUAAAAAUGCAUUUCUUUUUCUUUUAAGAAUCAGGUAGGUGUGUGUAUUUGAUAAAAAAAUACCAGAAUUCCUCUUCUCUACCCUCCCCCAGAAAAAGCAGAGUCAAGGUUGUGUAAGUGCAUUUCCUAUCCAUUCAGUCAGCAGAAAUCAGGUCAUCCCUCCUUAGGGCUACAUUAGCAUUCAGAUCAAGCUCAGUUCACUCACAUUCCCGCCCAAACAUCUUAUUACAGCAGCCAGGCUAGGCUCCUCAUGGCACGACAGAUUUGCUCCUACUUCCCACAUUUGGCCACGUGAAAGGUGCUUUCAGUCCCUUUACUUGCACGAGCGCAGCCAGGAGCCGUUCUUGG